CGGCAGCACGGGGGCAACCCUGGUGGCGAGUGGCGAACGGGUGAGUAAUACAUCGGAACGUGUCCUGUAGUGGGGGAUAGCCCGGCGAAAGCCGGAUUAAUACCGCAUACGCUCUACGGAGGAAAGGGGGGGAUCUUAGGACCUCCCGCUACAGGGGCGGCCGAUGGCAGAUUAGCUAGUUGGUGGGGUAAAGGCCUACCAAGGCGACGAUCUGUAGCUGGUCUGAGAGGACGACCAGCCACACUGGGACUGAGACACGGCCCAGACUCCUACGAGAGGCAGCAGUGGGGAAUUUUGGACAAUGGGGGCAACCCUGAUCCAGCAAUGCCGCGUGUGUGAAGAAGGCCUUCGGGUUGUAAAGCACUUUUGUCCGGAAAGAAAACGCCGUGGUUAAUACCCGUGGCGGAUGACGGUACCGGAAGAAUAAGCACCGGCUAACUACGUGCCAGCAGCCGCGGUAAUACGUAGGGUGCAAGCGUUAAUCGGAAUUACUGGGCGUAAAGCGUGCGCAGGCGGUCCGCUAAGACAGAUGUGAAAUCCCCGGGCUUAACCUGGGAACUGCAUUUGUGACUGGCGGGCUAGAGUACGGCAGAGGGGGGUAGAAUUCCACGUGUAGCAGUGAAAUGCGUAGAGAUGUGGAGGAAUACCGAUGGCGAAGGCAGCCCCCUGGGCCAAUACUGACGCUCAUGCACGAAAGCGUGGGGAGCAAACAGGAUUAGAUACCCUGGUAGUCCACGCCCUAAACGAUGUCAA
rnacentral:rRNA from 1 species